CCUACGUGAGGCAGCAGUGAGGAAUAUUGGUCAAUGGACGCGAGCCUGAACCAGCCAAGUAGCGUGAAGGAUGACUGCCCUAUGGGUUGUAAACUUCUUUUGUCGGGGAGUAAAACACGGCACGCGUGCCGUUUUGCGUGUACUUGAUGAAAAAGGAUCGGCUAACUCCGUGCCAGCAGCCGCGGUAAUACGGAGGAUCCGAGCGUUAUCCGGAUUUAUUGGGGUUAAAGGGUGCGUAGGUGGAAUGUUCAGUCAGCUGUGAAAGUUUGAGGCUCAACCUUAUAAGUGCAAUUGAUACUGGUAUUCUUGAGUACAGUAGAGGUAGGCGGAAUUCGUGGUGUAGCGGUGAAAUGCAUAGAUAUCACGAAGAACCCCGAUUGCGAAGGCAGCUUACU
rnacentral:rRNA from 1 species